AAACUGAAGAGUUUGAUCAUGGCUCAGAUUGAACGCUGGCGGCAGGCCUAACACAUGCAAGUCGAGCGGUAACAGAUCCAGCUUGCUGGAUGCUGACGAGCGGCGGACGGGUGAGUAAUGCAUAGGAAUCUGCCCGGUAGUGGGGGAUAACCUGGGGAAACCCAGGCUAAUACCGCAUACGUCCUACGGGAGAAAGGGGGCUUCGGCUCCCGCUAUCGGAUGAGCCUAUGUCGGAUUAGCUAGUUGGUGAGGUAACGGCUCACCAAGGCGACGAUCCGUAGCUGGUCUGAGAGGAUGAUCAGCCACAUCGGGACUGAGACACGGCCCGAACUCCUACGGGAGGCAGCAGUGGGGAAUAUUGGACAAUGGGGGGAACCCUGAUCCAGCCAUGCCGCGUGUGUGAAGAAGGCCCUCGGGUUGUAAAGCACUUUCAGCGAGGAAGAACGCCUAGCGGUUAAUACCCGCUAGGAAAGACAUCACUCGCAGAAGAAGCACCGGCUAACUCCGUGCCAGCAGCCGCGGUAAUACGGAGGGUGCAAGCGUUAAUCGGAAUUACUGGGCGUAAAGCGCGCGUAGGUGGCUUGAUAAGCCGGUUGUGAAAGCCCCGGGCUCAACCUGGGAACGGCAUCCGGAACUGUCAAGCUAGAGUGCAGGAGAGGAAGGUAGAAUUCCCGGUGUAGCGGUGAAAUGCGUAGAGAUCGGGAGGAAUACCAGUGGCGAAGGCGGCCUUCUGGACUGACACUGACACUGAG
rnacentral:ncRNA from 1 species